rnacentral:lncRNA from 1 species
CCAACGUGAAACUGACAAGGUAACUUCCAGUUUGUUCCCGUUUCUGAUCUCAAGAAUGAUGUAUUGAACUGUAGCUGUGUCAUGAUUCACAUUAUUGCCCUCCCUCUUAACCCCUGCUUCCCUGUGCCCCCUUCCACACGCACAAAAGUCACAACCAGAAAAGAAAAUAAUGAAAGAAAUGAAGGAAAAAAAGAAAGUUAAAACCGAAGUAGAAAAAAUGCAAAAUGUAACAGCUGAUAUUACUAUAAUUAUGUGCUAUCUUUUACCUGAUUUUCUCAGGUUAUGGUUAAGCGGCAGAGAACAGCUUUUCCUCCAAAUUUUGUUCAUUCUCUCAAUGGUUCUCAUAUGAUGAUGACUGCCAUUGCUUGUAAAGAGGCAGGGUUAAGUUUUGCAGGUCUAUAUCUCCUGCCAUCAGGAUGAUGAUGAUGAUGAUGAUUAUUAUUAUUAUUAUUAUUAUUUUAUUUAUUUAUUAUUAUUUUUUUAGCACCCUCUAGUUUAGGAAUGUCUAACAAUUUUUACCGCAAUUUGAUUCUAGGAGUGCAUGAUUCAUACUGGACUCAUGCAGGUGAUGUAGAUCAAAUGAACUAGAUUCUAAGAGAAAACUGAAAUGUUUGUUGAACUCUAUGAUGCACCGAUUUUGGAGAAUGUGAGUUUUUCUAAUCACAGUGCUCAAUUCAACUCCCGUCCUUGUAUGCGUAGGUCAAUGCUUUAUUUGUCUAUACCAUCCUUUUACACAUUUAUACCAUUGUUUAUUGGACUCGAAAGAAUACUGUGUGAUGGAAAUGGAUGGAGUAUAAUGUGGAAGACCCUUAAAUAUCAUUUUCCAGUCAACCAGGAAAUGAAAAACCCAGCAAUCCUUGUGUAAUAUGCUAAUAUGUGGAUCAUAUUAAACAACUUGGGUAAACCUGAUGAGGCUCAACUUAAUUGAAGUGUAGUCCUUAUUUGUCAUGGUAGGUUUCCUAGAUCCUUUCUCUCAUUCUGCGAUAUUAAGAGCCCAUCUCCAAAAGUAAAUCACACGACUCAAAUGCUUUUGAUUCUGUCAUUUCAUAUGAUUUUUUUGUCAAUUUCCUGCUAUGUUAACCAUUAAUAUUAUUCCACUUUUCAGACUAUGCAUCUAGUGACCUUUCUUGAACACAUUCAAAUUGUCGGAGUUUAAUCAUCCAUUUUAUCUUCACUAGAUGAUACCUUAACCAGCUCAUUAGUGUGCUCUUCGUAUUCAUAUAGGUCCACUGCAUAUAUUUGGUUUCUCAAUGGUCCAGCCUGUGGUUCCAUAUAACAUGGUUGUUUUUUCAGGUGCUAUAUGGAAUUCCUUUGUCAAUCACCCAACAUCAGGGGCACUCUGACUUAACCCAACAAGAAAUAAUCAUUUGAGUAAUUUCAUCAUAUAACUAAGCGAGCCUAAGACCCCGUUUGGUACACAUUAAUGUAAAAAUGAGAAUGAAAAAUAUAGUUGUUACGAGCCUCACACAAGAGAUAGAAAGCCAAAUAUGGUGGCUUGAUGUGAUGGAUAACGGUCAUAUUUUUCAUUUUAGUAAGCAAAUAAUGGGAAUCGAACAGGGGCUAAAUAUUGGAAACAAACUUUUAAAUGUUUUACGAGUUCUACCUUGUCUAUUAGUGUCAUGUACCAACAAAAUAUCAUCUGAAAAAUCAAUGAUACUGGAGCUGUUUAUCCUUGAUUCCCUCAGUAGGAAAUUUUAUUGAUGGUGACGAUUUUAUAUUUCACCUGUCUUUCUCAUUCGACUGAAGGGGAAAAAAAAUGGGUGAAGGAUUUUAGUAUUGCUUUAUUAACUCCUGAUCAGUUUCUUUGUGUAUUGUCGUACUUGCUGAUAAUUUUAGCUGGUGAGACUUUUAGUUAUUUUUGCUUUAAUACCUUGUGAUAUUAUUCCAUCUCCCUAAGCUUUUAUGUUUUAUGAUUUAAUAGGAUUUAUUACCUUACUUCAAAAUUGCUACCCUUAAAUGAAAUUACUUAUUUAGAAGAAGUAUUCUACGUUAAAAGGUGGAAAUGUCCAUUGUACCAUUUUUUUUUUUUUUUCAAUGAAUCCCUAAUGUUUGAACUUUGAAGUGUUCUGUUGUGAGGUUUUGUUUGAGACUUAUUGGGUGAUAAGUUAACGUAACCAUUGCAUCUGUUUUACAGUUGCUGGAAAGUUUUCAGCAGUCCUUCCCAAAGUUAAACUUUCCUCCAUUGCUAGAACGUGGAGACUUCGACUUGAGAGAAGUUCUGGAGUCUCCCUAUUUUUUCAACUAAAUGAACAGAUACAGCUCACUUUUCAAGGAAUCCUUACUUCUAAAUGGCCUGGUAAUGGUAGCUCCUAAUUUCUUUGAUAUUUUUUAAUACCUUUAGCCGAUCACCAACAGAAAAAAGCUAGCCCUUCUGUUAUUGGCUGCCCUUCAAUCAUCACGAGUUUUCUUUCAAACAUGUCAGAAAAGUCCAUACAAGAAGGUGUUGGGGACAAUUGAGAUUCUUCCGCAACGUCUUGACAGUUAUGACCAAUUGUUGUGGAGCCCGGAUUUUGAGAUGAGAUGAUGGUGCUCCGGUUACUUUAAUGGCUGAACGAGCAUAUCAUGCUAAUGACACGCUACGAACAUUUUGUCGGUGGUAAAAUAGAGGGAAUUAAGGUUAUUCAGUGUAUACAAUGGGGAGGGUUGAAUCAAACGACUAACAAAAAUUCAUGUACAUGCUUCUUUUCUACACUUGUCCAGGUGCAUAACUGAUCCCAAAGGGUUGAGUUAUAAAGAACUGGAAACUCACUGGAGAGGGCCAAAUUGAUGUUAACUUGACACUUGUAUUGCCGUGGUUAGCUCGACUCACCUUUGUAUAAUACAAAAGGCGAUGCAUGUAGUUCUAGAGACAUUUUUUGGAUGCUAUUUCUUCUCUCUUUUUUCUCAAAGCUUUGUAUUAAUAAAAGGAUUAUUCUAUUUGUACCUAAAAAACAUACAAAAGGGUAUACAGUCAGCUGAGGUGGCGAUUUUUACUGACAAAAUUAUUGACCCAAUAACUCGUGAGAAAUUGGAAACUUUAAUUUGAAAUCAAACCUACACCUACCAAAACCCAUCCCAAAAGACUGCCUCUCUCUUCUCUCUCGCGACACACCCAUCCCAUAUUGGAGAUCUCUCCGGCGACUCCAGGUUCGGCGACCCCAGGUGCGGCGACUCGAGGUCCGACGACUCCAGAUCCGAUAAUGUCCCUUCAUUUUUACAGAUCUUCAAAUUUGGGUGUGUUUUGGUAUUGUGACUGUUUUAUUCUUCUGAAUUAUGAAGGAAACUGACUUCUUCUCGAUGAGGACUAGUAAUGUCUCUUUAUUUAUGCUAUUACAUUAUAAAUAAUUUCAAUGUGAAGUAAAAAUAAAUUAACUGCCUGCAAAAUAAAUUUGGAGUAAAAUCAAUUAAGUCUCGGAAUGUUUACAGGCUUCCAUAUUGUAGAAUGACUUCGUUUCUAUUGGGGCUUGUCUUCUUCAGGGGUUAAGGAUUUGGACGGGGUUGAAUAAUCCAGCUUUGUAAAUGCCUCCUAGUGGGAACUCUAGCGUUUAUCGGAGUUGAUUUUCAACAACCAGUUUUCUAUAUCAAAUGAUUAUCAUCAACUGUGAGAAAAAUAAUAAUAGACGGUAAUGUCCCUUCAUUUGAAGCAAAAUGUCGUCAAAUUUGCUUAAUAAACAGGUAUUGUGACGAUGGUAGCAAGUAUAAUUUAAGUAGUAAAAGAUUUAUUUAUAGCAAGUAUGAGUAACUCUUAUUUGCAAAUGGGAUAACAGAGAUCACUCGUCAGACCUUAGAAGAAAACAGAAAACUUGAUAUAUAUUCUCUGAUGAACACACAUCUAAGGAUUACAUUACAUUUCAUGCAUUUGCUAGUAGCAGUAGAUGGAAAUUGCAUUACCAGUGGUGGAUCCACGAUUUGAACUCAUUGGGCAUCUAAUUUAAUUUCGGAUUUAUAUUUUUUAUGAUGUUAUUUUUUUUUUUUUUUUUUUUUGCCAAUUCGAACAUUAUUAUGAUGUGAUUUUUUUUUUUCUUAUAUUAGAAUUCUUCAAUGGCCGGAAGAAAUAAGGGGAUAUGUCAUUCAUGUAGACGGGCAGGAUACAUGUUGCCAGAUUGCCCCGGAAAGAGAAGAUGUCCAAACUGUGGCCAAGGCUAUGUUAAAUGGAUGGAGGUGGAAAAGCAAAGCGAUAACAAAGGGCGUUUGUUCCAUUGUUGUACCCGUGAUAUCUGUCGAUUUUUCGAUUGGAAUAAAUCUCCUCCUGCCGCAGUAUAUCCCUUGCAAGGUGAAGGUCAAUCGAGCGGCGCCUCCAAUGGUAGUGAAAUCGUUGAUGAUUUGUCACGUAUGUUGGAAACGUGUGCUAACAUAGCCAAGAAAAAAGACAUUGAGAUCUCUCUCAACAUCAUAACAAUUCAUAAGGGAAAACGGGAUUCGGAAGAUGUUCUAUGAACUUGGAUUUAAUGGGAUGGUUUAGGAAUAUUUAAUCUUCGGUGUGAUGCGUUAACUAUUGAUUUUGUAAAAAUUUGAAGACAACUUGGAUCCAUGAAUUUCAGUCGGUUUUAAAUUUCCUUUUAUGAGCAUUAUGUUUAGGACAUGUUUUACUAAUGUGCUGUUGAGUUUAAAUGUUAAUGUGAAUGGAGUGUGUUUGGUGCUAUACAUGUUUGGUGUUAAACAUGAAUCAAGUUAUAGUUUAAACAAUCACUUUUAUAUCCUCUUAAAAUCAAUAAUUUUCACCUGUCUAUUUGCCUAUUUAUCCAUUCUGUCAACAUGUAGUAGUAAUUCCGUGUAUGUUACUUCCUAGAAUCGAUGGAAGAAUAAUAGUCAGUUGUAUUUGGAUACAAGUUUCUAAGGCUUGUCUUAAUUCUUG